GGCAACAGGGGCCUUGGCUUCUAUGGAGAAAAAGGUGAACAGGUAAAGAAAAACUAAUGAAUUAGUAUCAUUACUAAUGGACGGGUUGAUGUUAUUUGCUGUUUAUAAAGGAACCUAUUUUAAAUACACUCUUAAUUUGCAGUUGUAUCAUGCAAUUAUAAGAGAAAAACAAACAAGUAUAGCUUGGAAAGUGAUGAUAAUCUCCAUAAGGAAUGUCAUAGCUGAACUAACUUCUACAUGUCUUGAUCUUGCUGCGCCCUCAUUUACAGCAACACAGAGGUAACACUUCUGAAAUUUAUAAAGCCUGACCACGUUAUAUAAAACAAUAAUCUUUCUGGAAACAUACAAGGCAAGAACAAGUAUUGCUAUAUGUUAAUCCCAGCACAAAAUAAAUCUAUCUUGCCAUCAAUUUAUUCAGAGGUUUAGAACCAUACAUCUAGGAGGGGCAAAUCUGCAUUGCUCCUUUUGUUGCAGUUCCUUCAACUGUGUGCUGAUCAACAGCUUGGCAAGGUAUUAUAACUGUUAAUAAAUGUACUCUUACGCUUUUCUUGCAGGGCCCUCCUGGUCCUCCAGGUCCACCUGGGCUUCCUACAAGAGAACUGAUGGGCGUCCCCUCUGACAAACACAAGGGUGAAAGAGGAGACCCAGGACAAAAAGGGGAAGCUGGAAUUCCAGGUGUACUUCUUCAUGUCCCUGAAAAAGGUGAAGAAGGGGUAAUAGGCUUCCCAGGACAAAGGGGACUGCCUGGCAUCAACGGUUUUCCGGGACUUAGUGGAGAAAGAGUGAGUAUCUCAUACCAGACUGUUGUUUCUAACACAUAUGUAGACAAUCUGUCUAAAAAGUAAACUGUAGAGGACAAACGCUGCCUGUAAUUAUACCAGCUGUAGUCUAACAAAUAUCAUCUGGAUUCAUCCAUCAUUGUAAUUUUGGGUCAGUUAUUUUUCUCAUCAGUGAGAAAAAACAUGGCCCUAUAAUUAAAGUCUUUUUUAAG
rnacentral:lncRNA from 1 species